rnacentral:pre_miRNA from 1 species
UAAGUCAUGACAAGUUUUUCUUGCAGUAGAGAUAAUCUGGAAAAAAUGGUCAUGACUGAUA